rnacentral:rRNA from 1 species
UACGUACGAGGCGAGCGUUAUCCGGAAUUACUGGGCGUAAAGCGCGCGCAGGUGGCGAUUUAAGUUGGACGUGAAAUCUCCCGGCCUAACUGGGAGGGGUCGUUCAAGACUGGGUGGCUUGAGGACUGCAGAGGUGGGUGGAAUUCCUGGUGUAGUGGUGAAAUGCGUAGAGAUCAGGAGGAACACCGGUGGCGAAGGCGGCCCACUGGGCAGUCACUGACGCUGAGGCGCGAAAGCUCGGGGAGCAAACAGG